GGAGUGGUAGUUCAGUUGGUUAGAAUACCGGCCUGUCACGCCGGGGGUCGCGGGUUCGAGUCCCGUUCACUCCG
rnacentral:tRNA from 1 species